rfam:Oryza glaberrima chromosome 6 Oglab06_0039_22, whole genome shotgun sequence.
AACCACACUAUCAAUGAAUGGAUUCACCCGCGAGAUGAUGUAGCUCUUUCACAUAGGACGAGGACAUGAUAUCCUAUUACCAGCCAUCUUACAAAAUUAAUAGGAUAUAUCACGUCAUCAUCCUAGAUGGAGCAACCACGUCAUCUCACGGGUGAAUCCAUUUAUCGAUAGUGUGGUU